AGAACUUGCAGAAGGAUUGCUGUUACAAGUCCAGUGGUCCAAAGGCCAGAGAGCCUGAACUUUGAUGUCCUAGGCAGAUAGGAGAUAAGCCUGUCCCAGGCUUAAGAGGAAAGAUUAGCUCUCUUUCUGCAUGUGUGCUCUCUGGACUGCCAUGUGAGUGAUGUUGCCUGCUCACAUGGAGGGCAAGUCUGGGUCACAUCCAGCCCACCCAGACUCGCAUGCUGACCUCCUCAAGAAACAUCUCACAGGCAUACUCAGAACAAUGCUUUUCAAUGUUUCUAGGUACUCCUUAGUCCUUAGUCAAAUUGGCACACAAAAUCAACCAUUACAAUGGGUCCAGCCGACAAUACACAGAACUUAGAUUUCAGCCUCACUCAGGGUGGCUUUGAUUACAAGCAGUCAGGAUAAACCCUCUAAAUGGAUAGAGCUUUCCACUUGUAUCCUUAGGAGGCAGGUGGUUGUAAUAUGUUACCUAGUUGGUUAGGAGCCAAAGGACUCUGGAGACAGGGAGGGCUAAGGUAGAGACAGUUGGGUACAAAUUUAAUUUGUGAAUGGGCAAGAUUGUGAAGAUCUUUGUAUUGAAUAUUAAUGUCUACCCAAGAGCAUCCAGCUAGAAGAGGCACUAAAUGAUCAAGGAGCCACAGUGGUGUGUUCUGUUUAUCAUCAGCUUCUUUCAUCAGCCAUUCCAAGGCUGGUACAAUGGGCUCACCAUUAAUGUGGCUAUGGUGGCAGAGAUGGAGGCCACACAUGGGUUUAAGAGCUUAAAAUCCUUGUCAUCGAGGCUGAUCCAACUAGUUCUGUAGCCAAGCACCCUAUCACAGGGCCAACACCAAGCACAUGAUAGGACACUUGAUGAUAAGUGGAUUACAUUGGACUUCUCAUUCCCCACCAAGCUCUGGGCGCCAUGGAGUUAAAGCACUUGUUCACAAAGACGGAAUGUGUCCAACAAAGCACUCGGUACAACUCCCACUGAACGGUGAAUGUGCAGAAAGCUGUGCCAUGAGCCUGCCGGCGAGGCCCUGAAGGGGUGAACAAGACAGAGCUGCUCCCACGGAGGGGUCUGAGGGCCCGCUUGAGGGAGGUGGAUAGAAACUUGGAGAGAGACAUUUUUUGAGGGAUUGGAUGAUAAUAAACAACAAAAG